rnacentral:rRNA from 1 species
UACGUCGGGGGCGAGCGUUGUCCGGAAUUAUUGGGCGUAAAGAGCGUGUAGGCGGUUCGGUAAGUCUGCCGUGAAAACCUGGGGCUCAACCCCGGGCGUGCGGUGGAUACUGCCGGGCUAGAGGGUGGUAGAGGCGAGUGGAAUUCCCGGUGUAGCGGUGAAAUGCGCAGAUAUCGGGAGGAACACCAGCGGCGAAGGCGGCACUCUGGGCUGGUACUGACGCUGAGGAGCGAAAGCGUGGGUAGCAAACAGG